GACGAACGCUGGCGGCAUGCCUAAUACAUGCAAGUCGAACGCUGCCUGCGGGGCUUGCGGUGCAGGGUUGCUUGAGACCGGGGGAGUAGCCCUUAGGUUCGGAACAAGGUAGCGGAAGGGAUCUUUAUGCCGGGUUAGCUCUUACGGCAAAAGAUUUAUUGUCUCGGGACGGGUACGUGUUGGAUGAGAUUGUUGGUCUGCUAAAAGACUACCAAGGCGAUGAUCCAUAGCUGGUCUGAGAGGAUGAUCAGGAACACUGGGACUGAGAGACGGCCCAGACUCCUACGGGUGGCAGCAGUGGGGAAUAUUGGACAAUGGGCGAAUGCCUGAUCCAGCAAUGCCGCGUGAGUGAUGAAGGCCUGAGGGUUGUAAAGCUCUUUUACCCGGGAUGAUAAUGACAGUACCGGGAGAAUAAGCUCCGGCUAACUCCGUG
rnacentral:rRNA from 1 species